GACGAACGCUGGCGGCGCGCCUAACACAUGCAAGUCGAACGAGCGAGAGGAGGUUUCCUUUCUCAAGCGAGUGGCGAACGGGUGAGUAACGCGUGAGGAACCUGCCUCAAAGAGGGGGACAACAGUUGGAAACGACUGCUAAUACCGCAUAAGCCCACGACCCGGCAUCGGGUAGAGGGAAAAGGAGCAAUCCGCUUUGAGAUGGCCUCGCGUCCGAUUAGCUAGUUGGUGAGGUAAUGGCCCACCAAGGCGACGAUCGGUAGCCGGACUGAGAGGUUGAACGGCCACGUUGGGACUGAGACACGGCCCAGACUCCUACGGGAGGCAGCAGUGGGGAAUAUUGCACAAUGGGGGAAACCCUGAUGCAGCGACGCCGCGUGGAGGAAGAAGGUCUUCGGAUUGUAAACUCCUGUUGUUGAGGAAGAUAAUGACGGUACUCAACAAGGAAGUGACGGCUAACUACGUG
rnacentral:rRNA from 1 species